rnacentral:rRNA from 1 species
UACAGAGGUCUCAAGCGUUGUUCGGAUUCAUUGGGCGUAAAGGGUGCGUAGGUGGUGAUGCAAGUCUGGUGUGAAAUCUCGGAGCUCGACUCCGAAAUUGCACCGGAUACUGCGUGACUCGAGGACUGUAGAGGAGAUCGGAAUUCACGGUGUAGCAGUGAAAUGCGUAGAUAUCGUGAGGAAGACCAGUUGCGAAGGCGAGUCUCUGGACGACUCCUGACACUGAGGCACGAAAGCUAGGGGAGCAAACAGG